UAAUACGUAGGGUGCGAGCGUUAAUCGGAAUUACUGGGCGUAAAGCGUGCGCAGGCGGUCUGUUAAGACAGAUGUGAAAUCCCCGGGCUUAACCUGGGAACUGCAUUUGUGACUGGCAGGCUAGAGUAUGGCAGAGGGGGGUAGAAUUCCACGUGUAGCAGUGAAAUGCGUAGAGAUGUGGAGGAAUACCGAUGGCGAAGGCAGCCCCCUGGGCCAAUACUGACGCUCAUGCACGAAAGCGUGGGGAGCAAACAGGAUUAGAUACCCUGGUAGUCCACGCCCUAAACGAUGUCAACUAGUUGUUGGGGAUUCAUUUCCUUAGUAACGUAGCUAACGCGUGAAGUUGACCGCCUGGGGAGUACGGUCGCAAGAUUA
rnacentral:rRNA from 1 species